CACGGGGGGAGCAAGCGUUGUUCGGAAUCACUGGGCGUAAAGCGCGCGUAGGUGGCCAUUUAAGUCCGCUGUGAAAGUCAAAGGCUCAACCUUUGAAAGCCGGUGGAUACUGGGUGGCUAGAGUACGGAAGAGGCGAGUGGAAUUCCUGGUGUAGCGGUGGAAUGCGCAGAUAUCAGGAGGAACACCAAUAGCGAAGGCAGCUCGCUGGGACGUUACUGACACUGAGGCGCGAAAGCGUGGGGAGCGAACAGG
rnacentral:rRNA from 1 species